CCCCAGUACGGCGAGUGAGCGGCAAAAGCUCAAAUUUGAAAUCCUGCGGGAAUUGUAAUUUGAAGGUUUCGUGGUCUGAGUCGGCCGCGCCCAAGUCCAUUGGAACAUGGCGCCUGGGAGGGUGAGAGCCCCGUCCGGCGCACGCCGACUCUUUGCACCGCGGCUCCGACGAGUCGAGUUGUUUGGGAAUGCAGCUCUAAGUGGGUGGUAAAUUCCAUCUAAAGCUAAAUAUUGGCGAGAGACCGAUAGCGAACAAGUACAGUGAUGGAAAGAUGAAAAGCACUUUGAAAAGAGAGUGAAACAGCACGUGAAAUUGUUGAAAGGGAAGGGCUUGCAAGCAGACACGGUUUUACCGGGCCAGCGUCAAAUAAACGGGGGGGAAAAGGGGGAAAGAAUGUGGUGCGUGCCUUCGGGUUCGCGUGUUAUAGCUUUCUCUAAUACCCCCAUGUUUGUUUGAGGCCUGCGAUUCUAGGACGCUGGCGUAAUGGUUGCAAGCCGCCCGUCUUG
rnacentral:rRNA from 1 species